rnacentral:rRNA from 1 species
GAUGAACGCUGGCGGCGUGCUUAACACAUGCAAGUCGAACGGAAAGGCUCCUGCUUGCAGGGGUACUCGAGUGGCGAACGGGUGAGUAACACGUGGGUGAUCUGCCCUGCACUUCGGGAUAAGCCUGGGAAACUGGGUCUAAUACCGGAUAGGACGAUGGUUUGGAUGCCAUUGUGGAAAGUUUUUCGGUGUGGGAUGAGCUCGCGGCCUAUCAGCUUGUUGGUGGGGUAAUGGCUUACCAAGGCGUCGACGGGUAGCCGGCCUGAGAGGGUGUACGGCCACAUUGGGACUGAGAUACGGCCCAGACUCCUACGGGAGGCAGCGGUGGGGAGUAUUGCACAGUGGGCGCAAGCCUGAUGCAGCGACGCCGCGUGGGGGAUGACGGCCUUCGGGUUGUAAACUCCUUUCGCUAGGGACGAAGCGCAAGUGACGGUACCUGGAGAAGAAGCACCGGCUAACUACGUG